CUUAUUAUGAUUAGGGAAAACUUCAAAAACCCCCCCUGUGAUUUCGUGCAUUCUCAUUUUGCUACCCUGUGGUUUAAAACGUAUCAAUUUACCCCCCUGUGGUUUCAUUUUUAUCUUUUCGGAAGCUUUUUCGUUAAUAUUUCGUUAAAUUAUAUACAAAAAACUUCAGAUAACCAUCUAUAUUUAUCGAAUAGUCACUUUAGUAUCCUUUAAUUUUAACUUUGUUACUGAUUUUAAAAAAAAAUAAUAAUAAAAUUGAUAACAAAAAGAUAAAAACGAAACCACAGGGGGGCAAAUUGAUACGUUUUAAACCACAGGGUAGCAAAGUGAGAAUGCACGAAACCACAGGGGGAGUUUUUGAAGUUUUCCCUUAUUAUUAUUAUUAUUAUUUUAAAAUCAAUAGUAGAUAAGCUUCCAAAUUCAAAUAAGAUCGAUGCUCGCGAAUAAAAAGAUAAUAAAGAUUAGAGAAAGAUUAGAGAGCGAGAGAAGAGAGAAUGGAAGGAAAACAGAAAAAAAAAAAAAAAAUAUGUG
rnacentral:lncRNA from 1 species